rnacentral:rRNA from 1 species
GGGGAAUCUUGCGCAAUGCGCGAAAGCGUGACGCAGCAACACCGCGUGAGGGAAGACGGCCUUCGGGUUGUAAACCUCUUUCAGGAGGGACGAAGGGCGACCGGUGAACAGCCGUGUCGCUUGACGGUACCUCCAGAAGAAGCACCGGCUAACUACGUGCCAGCAGCCGCGGUAAUACGUAGGGUGCAAGCGUUGUCCGGAAUCAUUGGGCGUAAAGCGCGCGUAGGCGGCCCGAUAAGUCCGCUGUAAAAGUCAACGGCUCAACUGUUGAAAGCCGGUGGAUACUGUCGGGCUAGAGUACGGAAGAGGCAAGUGGAAUUCCUGGUGUAGCGGUGGAAUGCGCAGAUAUCAGGAGGAACACCUAUAGCGAAGGCAGCUUGCUGGGACGUUACUGACGCUGAGGCGCGAAAGCGUGGGGAGCGAAC